AGAGUUUGAUCCUGGCUCAGGACGAACGCUGGCGGCGUGCUUAACACAUGCAAGUGGUGCGACGAACCAGGGCUUGCCCUGGGGCCAAGCCGCGAACGGGUGAGUAACACGUGGGUAAUCUGCCCCGAUGACCGGGACAACCCGAGGAAACUCGGGCUAAUACCGGAUGUGGUGCUUGGACAUAAGUCCUUGUACUAAAGGAAGCUUCGGCCUCCGCAUUGGGAGGUGCCCGCGGCCCAUUAGCUUGUUGGUGGGGUAAUGGCCUACCAAGGCGACGAUGGGUAGCUGGUCUGAGAGGACGAUCAGCCACACUGGGACUGAGACACGGCCCAGACUCCUACGGGAGGCAGCAGUGGGGAAUCUUGCGCAAUGCGCGAAAGCGUGACGCAGCAACGCCGCGUGGGGGAAGACGGCCUUCGGGUUGUAAACCCCUUUCAGGAGGGACGAAGGUUCACCGGUGAAUAGCCGAGUGGAUUGACGGUACCUCCACAAGAAGCUCCGGCUAACUACGUGCCAGCCGCCGCGGUAAUUC
rnacentral:rRNA from 1 species